AGGAGGAAGAAAGUGAGGUCAUAGCGUAAUUGGUCUCCCGUUCCAUUUGACCCAUGAAAAUGAACAGAUAUUAUCAUUAUUCAUGAUUCCAAGUUCAACGGUACGCUUUAAUAUAUGUUCGUAUUUUAACAAAAUUUGGUUUAAUUGAUACCUCCAUGGUUAUCUUUAAAAACUCGUUCAAGCGUGACCUUUAUGACGUAAUCUUAAGAUCUGAGCUGAUUGGAAGGGCUGGUAGUCGGAUUGGCGUUCGGCCCUACACUCGACAACUGGUUCUCUAUUGACAUACAGACGCAUUAUCAAAAGUGCUAUCUAAAAAUAACAAGCGCAAAGUCAACAAAUGUUUAUUACUAAACAGAUUACGAUAUUGAACGUUAUCUGAUGAUGCCAACAAAUUAAUUGCUCAUCUAUGUGUGGUUUCUGAAGGGUUUUAGCGUGUGUCUCGUCAUGCCUUCAUCAUUAGCAAUUAUGCGGUUUGGGUUAGGCGUGGCGACAGGAGAGCAUAAUAAGGCCGAAGACAGAACAGUCAGGGAAGGUUAAACUGGUUCAACUAUUGGCUCUUAUAUAACCUUCAUUUGGACGUGCUUCAUAAAUUGAAGCUUCCGAAAUGACCACCGACUCGAGUUCAGCACGAAACUUUAGAUAGAGUUUGGUUACCCAAUAAUAGAUCUUGCAUGUCUACAAUUUCUGUUUGUCGAGCGAAGUUUUCUCCAAGGCCCGGAACCGUGCCAAAUAUACUACGGAAAAGUUUUAAAAUUCUGUGAAGUUGGAAACUAACUGAGGCGCCGGUAGCUACUGCCGAUUAAAAUAGGAGGCGACAUUUUUAGGACUUCGCACAAAAUGCAUAUGACCUUUCACAUUCGUUUCGUGAUCAAGGGAAACGAUCAGAUGUUCCUAUACAUGAAUAGAACUCUGCUUGACAUGAAGUUUCCUUGUUUACAUAAGGCCGCUAUAUUGUUCCUUCAGGGGACUGCCAGAUAUAAUGUGUAGGUGUGUCUAUUCCCACUACUACUUUCUUUUAAUCUUGUUUUUAUUGUUUUAAACACGCGUGAAAUAGUAUUAGUGAAACCGGGUUUAUUUUCAAUUACGCGCCUACUCCAUAAGAGUAGCAGCGUAAGUAAACUAUUGUCUUGAAUUAUUCAUUCAUAAUCUAUACACUAACGGAUUCACAUGCAAUGCUAAAAGUUUAUCAUAUUUUCUUCAGAAAUUAUGGAGAAGGAUUAAUUUUAUUGCUACAAAAAGUGGAAUUUUCAUAGCAUCAACAUCAUAGGCCAGACUUAGUGCUUAUCAACAAAACCGUAAUGUUUUAGUCAGUAAAACAAAGUAUUUAUUACAUUUUAAAAAUAUAUAUAUACAUAUAUAUAAAUAUAUAUUAUAUUAUAUAUAUAUAUAUAUUUUCAAUUUAUCGUCGACGAGAUCUUGUGGUUUGCUUAGUUGAAAUAUAUUUUGACGGAUUGAAACCCGUUAAUUGUGGUUGAACGUAAUGUGCGCACAGUAUCCGGUGUUCACGACAGCGUGUAGGCUGAAUUUAUCCGUUUUAGAUUUAAACGUCACCGCCAAUCAGAUCUCUCCAAUUCAACACAGUUACAGACGAUGAGCGAAUGAUUCAGAUGAAGAUUGUGCAUAAGUUUAUGCAUGGAUUUUAAAGGAGGAAAUAUACAUUUAAAAGCAUGAGCAAGUACGUUACAAAACGCCAUGAUUCUCGUGUCCACAUAGUUUAAAGUACUUAGCCUUAAUCUUGUCAAAGCAAAACAAAAUUAAGAAUGGGACAAGUUGUUUAAGUGGGACAUAAUAUUACCUCGGGUUGUGACAUUUUGACGCACGCAACAGCUUACUGUGACAUUUUUACGACAUAAUCUGAUAGUUACUUACUCUCGCAUACACUAAGAUUUGUAUGUAUCGGAUGAAGGAAGCUUAAAAUUUUAGCCUAUUUCAGUUUCCAUACAGAGCUAUGCACGAUAAAUACCGUAGCUCUAUUAACAUGAAAUAUGUAUGAGAAAUUGUGUCUGAAUAUAAAAUAAAACGAAUAACCUAAUUUCUUUACAGAGACAUCAUGCUAAUAUUUAUCUCCUUUUUCUCUCUGCCCCCCUCCUUCUCAGUUACUCAAAUUAUAUAUCGCAGUAUCCAAUAGUUCGAUAAUUUUAAUAUUAUUCAAAGAAAUAUUUCCAAAUAUUAUUAAUUAGGUUUAUUAUAUAUAUUUUUAUU